UAUUUGUGGUGUCACGUGUAUGUGGUC
rnacentral:piRNA from 1 species